rnacentral:rRNA from 1 species
GCAACCCUCGUUCUAUGUUGCCAGCACGUAAUGGUGGGAACUCAUGGGAUACUGCCGGGGUCAACUCGGAGGAAGGUGGGGAUGACGUCAAAUCAUCAUGCCCCUUAUGAUUUGGGCUACACACGUGCUACAAUGGACAAUACAAAGGGCAGCGAAACCGCGAGGUCAAGCAAAUCCCAUAAAGUUGUUCUCAGUUCGGAUUGUAGUCUGCAACUCGACUACAUGAAGCUGGAAUCGCUAGUAAUCGUAGAUCAGCAUGCUACGGUGAAUACGUUCCCGGGUCUUGUACACACCGCCCGUCACACCACGAGAGUUUGUAACACCCGAAGCCGGUGGAGUAACCUUUUAGGAGCUAGCCGUCGAAGGUGGGACAAAUGAUUGGGGUGAAGUCGUAACAAGGUAGCCGUAUCGGAAGGUGCGGCUGGAUCACCUCCUUUCUAAGGA